GAUGAACGCUGGCGGCGUGCCUAAUACAUGCAAGUCGAGCGAACAGACGAGGAGCUUGCUCCUCUGACGUUAGCGGCGGACGGGUGAGUAACACGUGGAUAACCUACCUAUAAGACUGGGAUAACUUCGGGAAACCGGAGCUAAUACCGGAUAAUAUAUUGAACCGCAUGGUUCAAUAGUGAAAGACGGUUUUGCUGUCACUUAUAGAUGGAUCCGCGCCGCAUUAGCUAGUUGGUAAGGUAACGGCUUACCAAGGCAACGAUGCGUAGCCGACCUGAGAGGGUGAUUGGCCACACUGGAACUGAGACACGGUCCAGACUCCUACGGGAGGCAGCAGUAGGGAAUCUUCCGCAAUGGGCGAAAGCCUGACGGAGCAACGCCGCGUGAGUGAUGAAGGUCUUCGGAUCGUAAAACUCUGUAUUAGGGAAGAACAAAUGUGUAAGUAACUAUGCACGUCUUGACGGUACCUAAUCAGAAAGCCACGGCUAACUACGUG
rnacentral:rRNA from 1 species